GAGUGGAGACCAUCUACAAUCAUUUCCAGACGUAAACAGUCGCUUUUGUUGUUGCUAGUUACUACACACCUUCAAUUUUGUUUUAUUUACAUUGGGCACCGUUGUUGCUUUACAAAGAGGACAGGGUCUUAAACGAUGCGCUGCUUCGUAGGGAGUGUUUUAAUUUUAGCUGUAUUAAGUAUUUUGUGUAAACAAUGUGUGCCGUGUGCAACAGGAAAAGCGACCGAAUCCCAUUCAACUGAAGCGACAAUAACAUUCGAAAGAUCAUGUACUAGUGACUCCGAUUGUAGAUUCUCAUCAAAUGCGAAGGUCCGAGAUCAAAUUCAAAUAGCAUGCAAACAAGGAAAAUGUCAUUGUGAAAAACCAUUGCGCUUACUUCAGGAUGCAACAGACUUUCCAGUACAUUUUUCGGAUGGUAAGUGUAUGGCUAGUUUUGAUGCACCUUGUGGAACAACAGAUGGCAUAACAAUUGUGUGUGAGGGUGUAAAAACGUGCAUCGAAGGAAGAUGUCGAUCAGAAAUUCGAUCACGAACGAAGAACGAUUUGUGUAAUGAAGACAUUGACUGUCAAGAAGGACUAAAGUGUAUUGACAAAUAUUUUGAAUUUUUUCCAACUGCAUUUUGUCAAGAAGCAUAAACUUUGAAUAAAACAAUGAUGACAACUUA